UUGGCAGCAGAUGUUACCACAGGGCUAAUCUUCCUCAAAAAAAAAACUCCAAAACAAAAAAACACGUUGAGCGUCACUCCUGUGAAUGUAUCACUUGGAUCGAAGGAGAUGUUGGCCUGGUCUUGCUUCCAUGACCUGAAAGAUCAUCUUUCCCCUUGAGGAAGUCUGAUUCUGUGUUGCUCUUGGAGAUCCUUGUUGCACUAUUGUGGCCUUGGAUCCUUGCCUCCAGACUGCCUUAUUGGUGAGGUUUCUGAAGGAAGACCUUUUGGCACUUCCAUAAGCAAGCCCUCCUGCAUGAGUUCCGGGAUAGGCUGGGCCUAACAAGAAACUCUCCUCUAUUGAGAAGUAGAUUGAAUGUAUUGGUACAAGUGCUGCAGUGGACACUCAUGCCCUCGGAGUAGAACUUGACCUCGCUCUUUUAACCGCUGUGAGGGUUCUCUGGCCUUUGGCCAUGUGCUUGACCUUAGGGAUUAACCCCAGGUGUGGAGGUGCCAGGACUGCCUGUCCAAUUUCCUGGUCCAGUCAGGAGAGCCUCCCUCACCUUUCUCCUUUCUGACCAUGUGCCCAUUUCUAGGGAAUAAAAAACUGGGCUCAAGGAGCUGACAAGUCCUUCCCCGUCAGGUCACCUCCUCCUCUCCCAUGUCCCUUGCCCUAGGCAGGCGGAUCUGUGUUCCUGUUCUCACUCUGCCUCCUGCAGGACUGGGUGAAAACACGAGGCAUUUUUGCACUUAGUCAUGUCCAGUAUCAUGGGCCUGGGAAGCAUGUGUUGUUUUAUACAGAUUGGGUCUCUUAGCAUGCUGGAAUGUGGACGGCUGUGAUUCAUCAGGGCUGCAUUUGGAAAACCAGAAAUGGUCACAUAGAGUCUCGCUCCUGGGCUUACGUUGGAAAAGCUUUCCCGGGCUUUGGGAUCUUGGUGCCCCGUGUCUUCUGGGGCCAGCUGUCAUGAAGCAGCAGCUGAGGGGUGGCUGCCUGGGGACAUGAAGUGGCCUGCCCUUGGGGUGCCCGCCCUGGUGGAUUGUUCCUUUCACCUCUGUACUCCUAGGAGUGUCUCCCAGGCCCCUCUUGCUGGCCACCCGGUCCUGCCUAGGCUAGUGGCUUUCUGCCUGGUGACUCUUUGGGAGGAGGAAUGGGCAGGACAGCUGGGAUAGAGUUGCUGAAUUUCUAGACCCAAAUCAGGACAUGUGUUUUGACAGGGACAAGGGUACGUGAUGGGUGGUGGUCGCUCUCUUUCAGGGUUUCUCAGCGUCGACACAGUCGACAUCUUGAGCUGGAUAAUCUUGGUGGUGUGGGGCUGCUGCGUGCAUUGUAGGAUGUUUGCGGCUUCCCCGGCCUCCCCCCACUGGAUGCUAGUGGUACCCCUCCCUCAGUUGUAACAACCAACAGUGUCCACAGGUGUUGCCAAGUGUUCCUGGGGCCAGAAUCACCCCCGAUUGAGAACCGCCGCCGUAGUCAAUGUUAACUUUGAUUUCUUUUCUUCUCCCUAUUUUCUGGUUAGACCUUCACGAAACAGGCCUGCCUGUCUGUGUGGUCUGGGGUGGACUCCUGGGAAAGAGUGUUAACUUAAUAGACACUUACUCUGUUAGUGCCCACUGUGUGCCAGGCAUGGCUCUGAUGCUUCACAGAUAUUGACUCAUUUACUCCUCAAUAACAGCUUUUUAUUGCUCCCAUUUUGCUGCUGAAACUGAAGCACACAGAAGUUAAGUAACUUUACCAAGGUCGCAGAGGCAGUGGGUGGCAGACCCAGGUUUGUCUGGUGGGAGAAAUCUCUCUGGGCCUCUGGGUUCAUCCACAGCCCAGGGCCCACCGCGGGGGACGUAGCCUGCUCUUGAUUCCUGGGCUUGGCAUGCCCCUUCCACGCUCUGGCCGUCCCCUUGUUCUGCUGCAUUGUGUUGGAACCUUCUUGGAAGGCAUUUUGGAGCCUAUGCACACGGUAAUGCUCUGAUGGUAGUGUCAGUCUAUUUUACUCUUUUUUCACUUUUACCUUUUGCUCUGUGAAAUGUUUUGUAUGUUCUUAUCCUUCAGGCCUCUGACUGUCCUGAAGACGGCAGCCCUCAAUUCCUCCUCCAGCAGGAGCAGACAGGAGAACAGGCUCUGGUCCCUUUCAUUCAUUCUUUCAAUGAGUGUUUCUUGAGCACCUAUGAUGUGCAAAUUCUCAGUACUUGAGUAUUUGGGAAUUCACAGGGAGUAUAACGCACCGAAUCCUUGUGCUUGUGGGACAUUCAUUCUGGGGGCAGGGAAGUUAGACAAAAAUGUGAUAGGCAAGUAUAAAUUAUAUAGUGUGAGAAAGGGGGCUAAGUGCUUUGGAGAAAAUAGGGCAGGUAAGGGGAUUAGGAAUUGGGUGGAGGCAUGGGUUGCAGUGUUAAAUGGGUGGCCCUGUAGGCUCAGUGGGGAGGUGAGAUUUGAGCAGAUUCAAGCCGAGACUUGAAGCAGGUGUCUUUUUGGCUCACUGUGCUUCAAAUGCAGCCCUGGUGUCAGCCGUGUCCAGCCUUUUUGGUGAUCUCUCUACUUCUUGGUUUCUUUUGCUAAAUAAAUGAGCCAGUUUUCUUUCCAAAGGUGGUUGUCUUUGGUUUGUGUCAGUGGUGGAGUCUCCUCCAUCAUGUGGAAAUCUCGGCUCUUCUCCUGGUUUCAUAUGGUGUCUUGGGUGAUGUGUAUACUCAUCCUAGUGAAAAUGGUGUUCACACUCCCAUGCCCCCUUCUUGCCCCAUGGGCCUGGGACUGCUUUAGGUCCCUGCGGGUUAAUUUGCUCAUUGACUUAGAAUGUACUUACGGAACAAUCUUGUUGCUUGAUUUCUGAGCUGCUCUCUGUGAAGUGCUAAAUUGGAUUGGGAAAGCACUCACUGUCUGCUGUUAGGCCACCAUUAAAUCGCAUCACACAUUUGUGGAACACUUUCCACACACGUUAUCGCGUAAUGAGAAAUCCUUGCUGGUCCCUUUGCACCUGCUCCCGCACAGGAUUUCCACUGUGAUGUCAUCUUGGCGAGUUGCUGUGGGUGAUGGGGCAUUGUUGAUUCUCGUCUGCAGGAAACCAGUGGUCAGAAGUCUCCCUGGUACCUGGGCUUUGGAGAGGUUGUUCUUGGCAGUGUGGGUAAUGUUGAGGCUCUGUGAUCUAUAGUAUUUGUGGAAGAUAAAGUGGACAUGUGACUUCAUUCUCCACAGCCACUUGAGGGAAGUGGAAUGGUGGGAAAUUGCAGGUCCUCCUGGCUCUCAAGUGAGAGCAUCCGGCUGCUUUUCAUAGAGGCCACUGGCAUUUAUGAGGGGUCUGUUAGAUGCUUUAUGGGAUUAUGUACCAUGCCUCCAGUGUGUACCUGGAUAAAACAACUGGAACAUUUACAUGGCGGCAAAGAAAAGUUAAGUUUAAAGGCUUCAGACUCAAGAGCAGCUGUUCAGGUUUCCUCCUCUCUGCUUCACAGGCUAGUCCAGGGAGUGAAUUCUUUUUCCUGAAAGCCCACUGCUCCAGAAAGAUGACACACUUCAAUUGAAGGGUCUUUCUUUCUUAGCUGAAUCACCCUGUGAGAGAUUGAGGAGCUGAUGCAAAUUAAAGGCCUGUGUUUUGGAGAUGCCCAUAAAUUAAGCACUCUGUUAUCAAGAUUUGGGAUGUGCAUUUGAUUGGCAGAUCAAUCAUCAAGAUUCAUCAGAAACCAACCUGUUUUAUUAAAAGACUGUGCUAGGCCCUGUGGGACAUGCAAGAGAAGUGUACAAUGUGCUAAGGCCACAUUUACCCCCGAGGAACAAGGAGUGACUUUGGCAACAGAAAACCCAGAGGCUUCUUCGACGGAAGGCCUGAUGCCCGGGCAGCCCUCACUUACAUCAGAAUCUCUUGGGGAGGCAAGGGACAGGCAUCAGCAGCCAAGGUGAAGAAGCAUUGCUGUAAAAUAAAUCACCCUUCUGUUGCUGUCA